GGCCAGAUCUUUCCGGUUGAUCCUGCCGGACCUGACUGCUAUCGGAUUGAUACUAAGCCAUGCGAGUCUUUGUAGCAAUACAAGGCAGACGGCUCAGUAACACGUAGUCAAUCUACCCUAUGGACGGGGAUAACCUCGGGAGACUGAGAAUAAUACCCGAUAGAUCAUUAUGCCUGGAAUGGUUUAUGGUCGAAAUGAUUUAUCGCCGUAGGAUGGGACUGCGGUCUAUCAGCUUGUUGGUGAGGUAAUGGCCCACCAAGGCUAUAACAGAUACGGGCUCUGAGAGGAGAAGCCCGGAGAUGGGUACUGAGACACGGACCCAGGCCCUAUGGGGCGCAGCAGGCGAGAAAACUUUGCAAUGUGCGAAAGCACGACAAGGUUAAUCCGAGUGUUUUCUGCUAAAGAAAUCUUUUGUCAGUCCUAAAAACACUGAUGAAUAAGGGGUGGGCAAGUUCUGGUGUCAGCCGCCGCGGUAAAACCAGCACCUCAAGUGGUCAGGGGGAUUAUUGGGCCUAAAGCAUCCGUAGCCGGCCGUGUAAGUUUUCGGUUAAA
rnacentral:rRNA from 1 species